AUUCACAUAAUUCAAAUAAGAAUAAUACACUGAAGCUGUAUAAGUGAUUUUCUCAAUCUGUGAAUA
rnacentral:tRNA from 1 species